AUAAGUAAGGUUGGUCAUGCCUCUGGUAUGUACUGGUCUCACUGAUUCCUCCUUCCUGAUGAACCGUAAUGCCAUUAAUUUGGUGUUGCGGGGAAUUUGGACUGUUACUUUGAAAAAAUUAGAGUGUUUAAAGCAAGCUAACGCUUGAAUACAUUAGCAUGGAAUAAUGAAAUAGGACGUUCCAUCCUAUUUUGUUGGUUUCUAGGAUUGACGUAAUGAUUAAUAGGGAUAGUUGGG
rnacentral:rRNA from 1 species